CAAUAGCGUAUAUUAAAGUUGUUGCAGUUAAAAAGCUCGUAGUUGGAUUUCUGGUAGGAGCGACCGUGCCGAACUUGAUUGUUCGAGUAUUGUGUUGUCUUCAGCCAUCCUCGUGGAGAACUUUUCUAACAUUAACUUGUUGGGAUUGGGACCCGCGUCGUUUACUGUGAAAAAAUUAGAGUGUUUAAAGCAGGCAUUAGCUUGAAUACAUUGGCAUGGAAUAAUAAGAUAGGACUUUGGUACUAUUUUGUUGGUUUGCAUACCAAAUUAAUGAUCAACAGGAACAGUUUGAGGAUAUUCGUAUGAACAUGUCAGAGGUGAAAUUCUUGGAUUUUGAUCAGACGAACUACUGCGAAAGCAUUUAUCAAGGAUGUUUUCAUUAA
rnacentral:rRNA from 1 species